rnacentral:SRP_RNA from 1 species
CCGUGCUAGAUGGGGAGUCAGCGGUGCCCUGUAACCUGCAAUCCGCUUCAGCAGGGUUGAAUUCCUGCCCGAGGGGAAAAGACUGCAGAGCUGGAAAGAUGAUCCGGUGUUGAGACUUGGGUCUUACGCAACGGAAGCCCGUGAACCUCGUCAGGUCCGGAAGGAAGCAGCGAUAAGCGGAGUCUUCUGUGUGCCGUGAGGGCGCCUGGGUGGAGUCGGAGAGUCUGAUACCGUCUGUGGAUUUGCCGCAAAGGCAGGUGCACGG